rnacentral:rRNA from 1 species
CCUACGGGAGGCAGCAGUGAGGAAUAUUGGUCAAUGGACGAGAGUCUGAACCAGCCCAGUAGCGUGAAGGAUGACUUCCCUAUGGGUUGUAAACUUCUUUUAUAUGGGAAUAAAACAGUGUAUGCAUACCCUCUUGUAUGUACCAUAUGAAUAAGGAUCUGCUAACUCCGUGCCAGCAGCCGCGGUAAUACGGAGGAUCCGAGCGUUAUCCGGAUUUAUUGGGUUUAGGGGGAGCGUAGGUGGUUUUGUAAGUCGGUUGUGAAAGGUUGCGGCUCAACCGUAAAAUUGCGGUUGAAACUGGGCAUCUGGAGAACAGGAGAGGUGGGCGGAAUGCGUGGGGUAGCGGUGAAAUGCUGAGAGAUCACGAAGAACACCGAUUGAGAAGGAAGCUCACUGGACUGCAACUGACAUUGAUGCUCGAAAGUGUGGGUAUCAAACAGGAUUAGAUACCCGGGUAGUC